rnacentral:rRNA from 1 species
GGGCCCGCACAAGCGGUGGAGUAUGUGGUUUAAUUCGACGCAACGCGCAGAACCUUACCCAGUCUUGACAUCCCUGGACCACUAUGGAGACAUAGCUUUUCGACCUAACGGAAGAAUCAGGUGACAGGUGCUGCAUGGCUGUCGUCAGCUCGUGUCGUGAGAUGUUCGGUUAAGUCCGGUAACGAGCGCAACCCCUGUCCUUAGUUGCCAAUUAUGGAACUCUAAGGAGACUCCCGGUGUUAAACCGGCGGAAGAUGGGGAUGACGUCAAGUCCUCAUGGCCCUUAUCGGCUGGGGCUACACACGUACUACAAUGCUACGGACAAAGGGCAGCAAGUUCGCGAGGACAAGCAAAUCCCAUAAACCGUGGCUCAGUUCAGAUCGUAGGCUGCAACUCGCCUACGUGAAGGCGGAAUCGCUAGUAAUCGCAGGUC